UACGGGGGGAGCAAGCGUUGUUCGGAUUUACUGGGCGUAAAGGGCGCGUAGGCGGCCUGUGCAAGUCAGUGGUGAAAUCUCCGAGCUUAACUCGGAACGGUCAACUGAUACUGCUCGGCUAGAGUGCGGAAGGGGCAACUGGAAUUCUUGGUGUAGCGGUGAAAUGCGUAGAUAUCAAGAGGAACACCUGCGGCGAAGGCGGGUUGCUGGGCCGACACUGACGCUGAGGCGCGAAAGCUAGGGGAGCGAACGGG
rnacentral:rRNA from 1 species